rnacentral:rRNA from 1 species
GACGAACGCUGGCGGCGUGCUUAACACAUGCAAGUCGAACGAAAAGAGGGAAAGAGCUUGCUCUUUCCGGAAUUGAGUGGCAAACGGGUGAGUAACACGUAAACAACCUGCCUUCAGGAUGGGGACAACAGACGGAAACGACUGCUAAUACCGAAUAAGUUCCAAGAGCCGCAUGGCCCAUGGAAGAAAAGGUGGCCUCUACCUGUAAGCUAUCGCCUGAAGAGGGGUUUGCGUCUGAUUAGCUGGUUGGAGGGGUAACGGCCACCAAGGCGACGAUCAGUAGCCGGUCUGAGAGGAUGAACGGCCACACUGGAACUGAGACACGGUCCAGACUCCUACGGGAGGCAGCAGCGGGGAAUCUUCCGCAAUGGGCGAAAGCCUGACGGAGCAACGCCGCGUGAGUGAUGACGGCCUUCGGGUUGUAAAACUCUGUGAUCCGGGACGAAAAGGCAGAGUGCGAAGAACAAACUGCAUUGACGGUACCGGAAAAGCAAGCCACGGCUAACUACGUG